CAGCCGCCACGGUAAUACAGAGGGUGCGAGCGUUAAUCGGAUUUACUGGGCGUAAAGCGUGCGUAGGCGGCUUCUUAAGUCGGAUGUGAAAUCCCUGAGCUUAACUUAGGAAUUGCAUUGGAUACUGGGAAGCUAGAGUAUGGGAGAGGAUGGUAGAAUUCCAGGUGUAGCGGUGAAAUGCGUAGAGAUCUGGAGGAAUACCGAUGGCGAAGGCAGCCAUCUGGCCUAAUACUGACGCUGAGGUACGAAAGCAUGGGGAGCAAACAGGAUUAGAUACCCGCGUAGUCCCUGUCUCUUAUAC
rnacentral:rRNA from 1 species